CCUUUUUUCAAUUUGAUAAAUGGUUCGAUGGUCCACGGAAGGAAAAAACACAUCUGAUGUUGAUUAGAUGGUUUGGAUGGUUCGUCCUGAUCUCACUUCUUUAUUCACUCGUAUAGUCGUAUCCAUGUUUAAUCUUUAACGUUAAUCUUUAGAUGUAUGACAUUCUAUGUUUUUAGUCUUUUUAUAUAAAAAUAGCUAGGC
rnacentral:lncRNA from 1 species